GAUGAACGCUGGCGGCGUGCCUAAUACAUGCAAGUCGAGCGAACAGGCGAGGAGCUUGCUCGUCGGAUGUUAGCGGCGGACGGGUGAGUAACACGCGGAUAACCUAGCUAGAAGAAUGGGAUAACUUCGUGAAACCGGAGCUCAUACCGGAUAAGAUAUUGAACCGCAUGGUUCAAUAGUGAAAGACGGUUUUGCUGUCACUAAUAGAUGGAUCCGCGCCGGAUUAGCUAGUUGGUAAGGUAACGGCUUACCAAGGCAACGAUGCGUAGCAGACCUGAGAGGGUGAUCGGCCACACUGGAACUGAGACACGGUCCAGACUCCUACGGGAGGCAGCAGUAGGGAAUCUUCCGCAAUGGGCGAAAGCCUGACGGAGCAACGCCGCGUGAGUGAUGAAGGUCUUCGGAUCGUAAAGCUCUGUUAUUAGGGAAGAACAAAUGUGUACGUAACUAUGCACGUCUUGACGGUACCUGAUCAGAAAGCCACGGCUAACUACGUG
rnacentral:rRNA from 1 species